UAACCCAUAGUUAUUUAGCUUAUAAAAUGAUUAAGCAAAAUAACUAUGGUUUAGGAACAGAUAGAAUACACUUUUUACUAACCAUAAUCAAGAGCACUAACAUUUUUUGAUGGCAUGGUGUAAAAUUAUGUUUUUCCAUAGCAUAUAUAUGCAUGGGACUAGACUGACAUAAAGAGGACCAGAAGAGCAUAAUUGGGUAAUC
rnacentral:misc_RNA from 1 species